GUAAGGGGGGGUUAGACAGUACAGAGUCAGGUCAUUAAGGAGCAGGUAGGGGUUAGACAGUACAGAGACGGGUCAUUAAGGAGCAGGUAGGGGUUAGACAGUACAGAGACAGGUCAUUAAGGAGCAGGUAGGGGUUAGACAGUACAGAGACAGGUCAUUAAGGAGCAGGUAGGGGUUAGACAGUACAGAGACAGGUCAUUAAGGAGCAGGUAGGGGUUAGACAGUACAGAGACAGGUCAUUAAGGAGUAGGUAGGGGUUAGACAGUACAGAGACAGGUCAUUAAGGAGCAGGUAGGGGUUAGACAGUACAGAGACAGGUCAUUAAGGAG
ensembl:lncRNA